CAGCAGCCGCGGUAAUACGGAGGGUGCAAGCGUUAAUCGGAAUUACUGGGCGUAAAGCGCACGCAGGCGGUUUGUUAAGUCAGAUGUGAAAUCCCCGAGCUUAACUUGGGAACUGCAUUUGAAACUGGCAAGCUAGAGUCUUGUAGAGGGGGGUAGAAUUCCAGGUGUAGCGGUGAAAUGCAUAGAGAUCUGGAGGAAUACCGGUGGCGAAGGCGGCCCCCUGGACAAAGACUGACGCUCAGGUGCGAAAGCGUGGGGAGCAAACAGGAUUAGAUACCCGCGUAGUCCCUGUCUCUUAUAC
rnacentral:rRNA from 1 species